rnacentral:rRNA from 1 species
UACGGAGGGUGCAAGCGUUAUCCGGAUUCACUGGGUUUAAAGGGCGCGUAGGCGGGUCACCAAGUCCGGGGUGAAAUCUUCCGGCUCAACCGGAAAAGUGCCUUGGAUACUGGUGGUCUGGAGGGAGGUAGGGGCACGCGGAACUUCCGGUGGAGCGGUGAAAUGCGUAGAUAUCGGAAGGAACGCCGGUGGCGAAAGCGGCGUGCUGGACCUCUUCUGACGCUGAGGCGCGAAAGCCAGGGGAGCAAACAGG